UAGCUAUGAGAAAUGUGUUAUAGGUAAUAUUAUACCUUUCAACAGUGACUAAGAAUUUUAGAAUAUUAAUUAGAAAUUGACAAACAGACACACAGAAAUAAAAAUAAAAAUGUGAUACUUUUCAUUUCUAUUCAUUCGCACAAUAACAAUGUUAGUAGAUAAUUAAUCAAAAUAAAAUUUAAAAAAAUAGAAUAAUAUUAAUUGAAAAUCAAAACAAUAUAUUAAUGAACCUUCAAAAUAUUUAGAAAUCAUCCAAACUUUUUUAUUAAUAUGACCAUCUCUUUUGAUCCAACUUCCAAGAUAAUUAGAACCCAUUUGAAUUGACUUAAAAGAGUAACUUUUGAGUCAAAAAUUAAAAGUCAAACUGAAAUGGCUUUUAAGUCAAAAAAUAAAAAGUAGGGGGAAACCUACUUUUGAUUUUUGAUUUAUUUUAAAAUUUUCUUUUUUAUAUAUUUAACAAACACUUUCAAAAUUCAAAAACUGAUUUUCAAUCUCAAAGGUUUGACGUUCAACUUAGUGAAGUAGUGAGACAGACGAUCAUUUUGAAUGUUUAAUCAUAUAUAUGAACUCUGUGUAAAUUGCUUUUAUCAAAAUAUCUAAUAAAAAGGUGUGGCGUUUGAGCCUGAAGAAGGUCCAAAUGCGUUGGAAUCAAUUUUAUUAUAUAGGAUAAUAUUAAAUCUUUCUAAAACGUGUUUUAAGAAAAAAUUAAAUUGAACAACAAAUUUAGUUAACAUAAAAGUCGAAGAUUAAAUGCAAUAAUACAUUGAAAAUUUUCAAUUUGAUAGGAGUAAAUUGUGUUCAACAAUAGAAGGCUUAAAAUUGUUGUUGUCACAUUCAUUUUGAUUGGAUUUGACUUUUAAUUUAAAAUAAUACACAUUUUCAUAGACAAGUCAAUAAAUAUAUAUAUAUAUAUAUACCAAAAAAACUAUUUAUGCACCACAAUUAAUUUAAAUUUUUAUUUUUUUCCUUUUCAUUCAAUGGAGUUUUUAGAUUAAUUCCUACAAGAGAAACAAGAUCAUCAAGAUCAAAGUGAAAUAUCAAAGAAUUGAAGAUUCAAGUUUUGAUCAAGAAAAAACAAAAACUAGUAUGUGGAUUGUACAAGAAAAUCUUAAGCUUGUAUCUUUUAAAUACUAUAAUUGUAUUUAUCUCAUAUACUACUGUUUGUUUCUUUUUUAUAAUGAACUUUAUUCAUCAACUCGCUUGAAAUUCACAUUUGAUCUUGAUGAGUUUGUUUAUGGAUAUUGGCUUAAAAACUUCAUUGAACUAACAAAAGAGAAAAAAAGUUCAAAUUUGAAUUUAUUUUGGCAGAUGAAUUAAGAUUUUGAAUAAUUUAAUUUAUUUUAUCUUUUUCUUCGUUUCAUUCAAUAGAGUUUUUAGCCUAAUUUCUACAAAAGAAACAAGAUCAUCAAGAUCAAAGUGAAAUAUCAAAAGAAUUGAAGAUACAAGUUUUUGAUUAAAAAAAGAAGCAAAAACUAGUAUGUGAAGUAUACAAGAAAAUCUCAAACUUGUAUUUUCUUAAUAUCGUGAUUGUAUUUAUUCCAUAUACUAGUGUUUGUUUUUUCUUAAUCAUGAACUUUAUACAUCAACUCGCUUGAUAUUCACAUUUGAUCUUGAUGAGUCUGUUCUUGUUGUUGGAUAUUGACCAAAAAUACUUUAUUGAACUAGAGAAGAAAAAAGUACAAAUUUAAAUUUAUUUCGGCGGAUGAAUAAGAUUUUGAAUAUAUAUAUAUAGAGUGAGAGAUACACUUGUCUAUAAAAAGGUAGAUACUAAGAAAGUCAAAUAAAACCUAUAGAUUAGAUGUGUGAGUAAUCCUACUUAUUAUUAAAAAAAAAAUAUGACUAAAAAAUAAAAUUAUUUUUUAAAAAAAUCAUAAAAUUAAAAGGCUUUCUUCAAUGCCUUUAAAAGAGGAAGAAAAUUAGAAAAAUAAUGCAUGAAGAAAACCUAAGAUUUUCUCAUGUUUUUCUUUUUCGUUUUGCUCGGGUGUAACAAGAGAUAGCAAGAGAAGUAAAUAAAAAAAGAUAAAUAUUUUCAAUAUUUAGCCGCGAUAUUAAAUCUCAAAACGAAACUCCUUACGAUAACAAUUUUUUCAUAAACAUUUCACUUUUUUAUUGCAAAACACACAGAAUGAGGUUUGUUUGUAAAAAAAAAAAUGAAUGGAAAUAUCAAUAUUUAUAGGAAUGAAUUAUAAUUUCUUUCUCAACAUUUAUGAGGUAUUGGAAGACACAAAACAAUCACUUGAAUUAUGAAUCAAAUCUUAAAACUCAGACAAUCAAAGAGAAAAAUGAUGGUCUAUUCAAUGUAUGCACAAAAAUAGAGAAGUUCUUUGUCGAUAGUGACAAUGAAUAUCAAGUUUUGGUCAAAAAUGAAAGAGGAAAAAUCGAUACAUUAAGAAAAGAGAUGAUUGAAUUUGAUUUUUGGAUCUUGAAAGUAAUGCGUAAAAUAAAUGAAAUAAGGCCUAUAUUUGAGUUACCCUUUCUUUUUAUAGAUUAUGACAAAAAUUAUGAAUUGAAAUGUUUAAUCUCAUAUGGAGGCUUGAUCAAAUUUCUGUGGUCUUUUUCUCUUCUUUCUUUUAUGUUAUUCGAGCUUCUAACUUAAUAACUAAUACAAUGAAUUAAAUGAUAAAAACUAAUAAUCAAUACAUAAAAAAUAUUAAUAUCAUAACUUUACGUUAAUAUAAAAUAAAAAUACAAUUUAAAGACCUAUAGUUAACUCAAAAAGUAUGAUUUUUUAAAUAAAAUUACAACAAUCAACUGUUUAAAACAAAAAAAGGUGCCAAGUGAUAAUAGUGAAUCCGAUAAUAAAAUAUGUAAUUUUAAUAAUAAUUGUAAAAAUUAAAAAAAUAAUAAAUUGACAGUUAAAGUAAGGUAAUUAUAUUUAUUAUUAAUAUCGAAGCUCGAAAAUAUAAAUUGAAAAAAAAAAUGAUCAAAAUUGAAUGUCAACAUUAGUAAUACUCCUAAUAUACGUGUCUUCAUGAACUGAAUAAAUUAUUAAUUAAAAAUAUUACGUACCUCAAAAAGUUAAUGAGAGACUGAAUCUGUGACUGUGAAAAACUCUCAUUGGAAGGAGAUGAGAAACAUCUUGAAAUCGCUACUUUUACUUUAUAUACAUAUAAAAAAGAAACGGUUAGAUAAAAAAGAAGGAAAAGAAAUGAAAGAGAUAGUUUUUAAAAAAAUGAACUUACACAAAUUCUUCUCACAACACGAUUUGAUAUGUUUAUUAAAAUCGCAUUGAAAUUCAUUAUAUCCAUCAUCAAGAGUAUAACUCUGUAAAAGAGGAAGAGAUUACAAACAAGGAAGAAACAAGAUGUAAAAGGUGAUAAAGGAGGAUACUUCCUUUUGCGAUUUGAGAAAGUGAACCAGUGAAGACAUCAAAAGUUAAAUAUUGAUAAGCAACAAGAAAAAAUGGAAGAUCAUGUUCAAAGAUGUCUCGCCGCUUGAGGCGAUAUGAUAUAGAGAAAGCGAAGAUCAC
rnacentral:lncRNA from 1 species